GACGAACGCUGGCGGCGUGCCUAAUACAUGCAAGUCGAACGCACUCUCGUUUAGAUUGAAGGAGCUUGCUCCUGAUUGAUAAACAUUUGAGUGAGUGGCGGACGGGUGAGUAACACGUGGGUAACCUGCCCUAAAGUGGGGGAUAACAUUUGGAAACAGAUGCUAAUACCGCAUAAAACCUAAACACCGCAUGGUGUAGGGUUGAAAGAUGGUUUCGGCUAUCACUUUAGGAUGGACCCGCGGUGCAUUAGUUAGUUGGUGAGGUAAAGGCUCACCAAGACCGUGAUGCAUAGCCGACCUGAGAGGGUAAUCGGCCACACUGGGACUGAGACACGGCCCAGACUCCUACGGGAGGCAGCAGUAGGGAAUCUUCCACAAUGGACGAAAGUCUGAUGGAGCAACGCCGCGUGAGUGAAGAAGGUUUUCGGAUCGGUAAAACUCUGUUGUUGGAGAAGAAUGUAUCUGAUAGUAACUGAUCAGGUAGUGACGGUAUCCAACCAGAAA
rnacentral:rRNA from 1 species